GUAGUCGUGGCCGAGUGGUUAAGGAGAUGGACUAGAAAUCCAUUGGGGUCUACCCUCGCAGGUUUGAAUCCUGCCAACUACG
rfam:Xenopus laevis strain J chromosome 3L, whole genome shotgun sequence.